rnacentral:rRNA from 1 species
UACGUAGGGACCGAGCGUUGUCCGGAAUCAUUGGGCGUAAAGAGCGUGUAGGCGGCCACUUAAGUCCUGCGUGAAAUCUUGCGGCUCAACCGCAAGCGGUCGUGGGAAACUGGGUGGCUAGAGUGCGGUAGGGGAGAUUGGAAUUCCUGGUGUAGCGGUGGAAUGCGCAGAUAUCAGGAGGAACACCAAUGGCGAAGGCAGAUCUCUGGGCCGUAACUGACGCUGAGGAGCGAAAGCAUGGGGAGCGAACAGG